AUUGAACGCUGGCGGAAUGCUUUACACAUGCAAGUCGAACGAUGAACCUUAGCUUGCUAAGGGAAUUAGUGGCGAACGGGUGAGUAAUGUAUCGGAACGUAUCCAAUAAUGGGGGAUAACUAGUCGAAAGAUCAGCUAAUACCGCAUACGUCCUACGGGAGAAAGCUAGGGACCUUCGGGCCUGGCGUUAAUGGAGCGGCCGAUAUCUGAUUUGCUAGUUGGUGGGGUAGAGUCGCACCAAGGCGAGGAUCAGUAGCUGGUCUGAGAGGACGACCAGCCACAGGGGAACUGAGACACGGUCCAGACUCCUAGGGGGGGGAGCAGUGGGGAAUUUUGGACAAUGGGGGAAAGCCAGAUCCAGCCAUUCCGCGUGAGUGAAGAAGGCCUUCGGGUUGUAAAGCUCUUUCGCAAGGGAAGAAAACUUAAGCGCUAACAGAGCGUGAGGUUGACGGUACCUGGAGAAGAAGCACCGGCUAACUACGUGCCAGCCGCCGCCGUAA
rnacentral:rRNA from 1 species